GAUGAAGAACGCAGCGAAAUGCGACAAGUAAUGUGAAUUGCAGAAUUCCGUGAAUCAUCGAAUCUUUGAACGCACAUUGCGCCCCCUGGCAUUCCGGGGGGCAUGCCUGUCCGAGCGUCAUUUCUGCCCUCCAGCCCGGCUGGGUGUUGGGCGCUGUCCCCCCGGGGACACGCCCCAAAGGCAGUGGCGGCGCCGCGUCGGGUCCUCGAGCGUAUGGGGCUUUGUCACCCGCUCGGGACGGACUCGUCGGCGCUGGUCUUCCUCCAGGCGACCCUUCGGGGCUCGUCUUCCUUCGGUUGACCUCGGAUCAGGUAGGGUUACCCGCUGAACUUAAGCAUAUCAAUAAGCGGAGGA
rnacentral:misc_RNA from 1 species